rnacentral:rRNA from 1 species
UACGUAGGCAGCGAGCGUUGUUCGGAGUUACUGGGCGUAAAGGGUGUGUAGGCGGUUGUUUAAGUUUGGUGUGAAAUCACCCGGCUCAACUGGGAGGGUGCGCCGAAUACUGAAUGACUAGAGUGCAGGAGAGGAAAGUGGAAUUCCUGGUGUAGCGGUGAAAUGCGUAGAUAUCAGGAGGAACACCGGUGGUGUAGACGGCUUUCUGGACCGUAACUGACGCUGAGACACGAAAGCGUGGGUAGCAAACAGG